rnacentral:rRNA from 1 species
CGCAGUAUAGGUGGGAGGCGUUGAAGAUAAUCUUGUGGGAUUAUUGGAGCCAUCAGUGAGAUACCACUCUUGUAAUGUUAGAUUUCUAACUUUGGAUCAUGAUCUGGUCAAAGGACAGUUUCAGGCGGGCAGUUUGACUGGGGCGGUCGCCUCCUAAAUGGUAACGGAGGCGUACAAAGGUUUCCUCUGAACGGGUAGAAAUCGUAUCUAGAGUGUAAAGGCAUAAGGAAGCUUGACUGUGAGACCUACAAGUCGAGCAGGGACGAAAGUCGGUCUUAGUGAUCUGACGGUACUGAGUGGAAAGGCCGUCACUCAACGGAUAAAAGUUACUCUAGGGAUAAC